GACGAACGCUGGCGGCGUGCUUAACACAUGCAAGUCGAACGGAAAGGCCCUGCUUUUGUGGGGUGCUCGAGUGGCGAACGGGUGAGUAACACGUGAGUAACCUGCCCUUGACUUUGGGAUAACUUCAGGAAACUGGGGCUAAUACCGGAUAGGAGCUCCUGCUGCAUGGUGGGGGUUGGAAAGUUUCGGCGGUUGGGGAUGGACUCGCGGCUUACCAGCUUGUUGGUGGGGUAGUGGCUUACCAAGGCUUUGACGGGUAGCCGGCCUGAGAAGGUGACCGGCCACAUUGGGACUGAGAUACGGCCCAGACUCCUACGGGAGGCAGCAGUGGGGAAUAUUGCACAAUGGGCGGAAGCCUGAUGCAGCAACGCCGCGUGCGGGAUGACGGCCUUCGGGUUGUAAACCGCUUUCGCCUGUGACGAAGCGUGAGUGACGGUAAUGGGUAAAGAAGCACCGGCUAACUACGUG
rnacentral:rRNA from 1 species